rnacentral:rRNA from 1 species
GUAGCGAUGUUCGGAUUCUGGGCGUAAGGGCGCGUAGGCGGCCUUCUAAGUCAGACGUGAAAUCCCCAGGCUUAACUUGGGAACUGCGUCUGAUACUGGAGGGCUCGAGUUCGGGAGAGGGAUGUGGAAUUCCAGGUGUAGCGGUGAAAUGCGUAGAUAUCUGGAGGAACACCGGUGGCGAAUGCGGCAUCCUGGACCGACACUGACGCUGAGGCGCGAAAGCUAGGGGAGCAAACGGGAUUAGAUACCCCGGUAGUCCUAGCCCUAAACGAUGU